UACGUAGGGGGCUAGCGUUGUCCGGAAUCAUUGGGCGUAAAGAGCGUGUAGGCGGUUCGGUAAGUCCGCUGUGAAAGUCCAGGGCUCAACCCUGGAAUGCCAGUGGAAACUGCCGAGCUAGAGUCCGGAAGAGGCGAGUGGAAUUCCUGGUGUAGCGGUGAAAUGCGCAGAUAUCAGGAGGAACACCGGUGGCGAAGGCGGUUCUCUGGGCCUGUACUGACGCUGAGACGCGAAAGCGUGGGGAGCGAACAGG
rnacentral:rRNA from 1 species